UAGCAGUUUUGAUGUGACCAGAUAAGUGCUCCAACCGGUGCGUCACUCCGCCUGUCAGUGAAGCCCCGACCGUUCACCAAGUUCCCAAAGGUCCUUGUUUCCAGCUGGCACCACGAGGAGAUGGUGGUGGAAUUUAGCCAACCGACUUGAUGCGUUUGUGUAUGGAGCUUUAAUGUUAUUUAAAUGACACUGCACACAAUAAAAAUGGCAGUUACCUCAUCGUUUUUGUCUUUAUUUGGUUUGAAUUGGUUUUGAGCAGAUUUAAGUCCUGAGGUGUUUGGUUUCAGCAAUCAGACUCAGCACAACACAACUGAACUGAGUCUCACCUCUCCACUCUCCAUUUCCGCCAUUUUCUUAACAACCUACCAAACACAAGAUGGCGCUGUUACCAAGGUAACGUGCCUAGAGGCGGUACACCUUAACAAUAUGAAUGAACGCUAUGUAAAUGUACUGUACCUACAGAGGAGAGGCAUAAAUACUACAUAGAUGAAUUAAAUUAUUCAUAUUAAUAAAAUAAAAUUAAAAAAAAAAAAAGGAUAAUAAUUUAUUAAUUUACUAUUUCAAUUCCAGUGUUAUAUCUGUCAGUUAUUUAUCUGCUCAGGGCUUCAAAAGUGUAAAGUUUAUCCCCUGAUCCGUUAAAGGAGAGAUAGAGAGAGAGGGGGGGGGGGCGUCCACAUGACGUCAUUAGGCGUUUGCUUCUAUAAAACCCUCUUGCUGCUUCUCUCUUCUCUCUGCUGUGCAAUAACCUCAAGUCGGUGCAGAUCUUCUGGUGUGUGUGUGUGUGUGUGUGUGUGUGUUGUGUGUAUCCAGAGAACAGAGGAAACUUCAUCAUGAUUAAAGUUCUAACGGCGUGUAUCGUGGUGCUGGUACUGACCAUGCAUCUCUCAACACAGGUUGAUGCAAACACAGUUAAUAAUACUUCAGGAAACUCCACGGCUGCAAACGGUGAAGGAUUCACGGUGCUGCCCAGCGUCCUCAGCCUCAUCCUCCCCACCGGCCUGCUCGCGUCUCUGCUCCACAACCUCCACUGCUGAACCUCUCACGCUGGGGGAUCCGGAGUAAAGAUGGACGGAGCCACACCUAAAGAGCGACGCUUUCUAAAUUCUUGAAUAGCGGUGGAACCCGAGAUCUCCCUUUGACGGAUUAAACGAGUCCUAAUUUCUCUCGCUUGCAGAAAACAAAAAGUCUCUUCAGCGACUACAACAUGAAGCUCUUUGGAAAUGCCUUGUCCCUGAAGUUUUUUGUCGGUUCUUAUGAUGCCCAGGAAGUCAAGCUGCGCAGCACUGAUUGAGGCUAAUCAAGAAUUGACCCGUUCACUCUACAUUUCUCCCUUGAAAGUUUUCUUUUCUCUUUUUUUUUUUUUUUUUGUCCUAAUUACACCUUUAGGACUUUGUAACGAAUCAUUAAAUACCAUGUUACAUUCGAGAAUUUAAAUCCUAAAAAAUGUCAUUAAAUUUAAUUAAAUAACCAGAUUGUUUUUGCAUGAAUCUUUACUGUUAUUAUAAUUGUAACUGUCAUCAAUAAUAAAAAAAUAAAUGUUAAAAUAAGGUG